UUAAACAACCAUACCCGCUUUAUAUCGUCAGAUCUUGGAAGCUAAACAAGGUUGGGCCAGGUAAGUCCUUCAAUGGGAGACCUCUGGGAAUACCAGCUGCAAC
rnacentral:rRNA from 1 species